rnacentral:rRNA from 1 species
UACGUAGGGUGCGAGCGUUGUCCGGAUUUAUUGGGCGUAAAGAGCUCGUAGGCGGUUUGUCGCGUCGGCCGUGAAAUCCCGGGGCUUAACCCCGGGCGUGCAGUGGAUACGGGCAGGCUGGAGGCAGGCAGGGGAGAACGGAAUUCCCGGUGUAGCGGUGAAAUGCGCAGAUAUCGGGAGGAACACCAGUGGCGAAGGCGGCGACCUGGGCAGAUACUGACGCUGAGGUGCGAAAGCGUGGGGAGCAAACAGG